UGUCACCUUUGUCAUUUCUAUUGUACCUCUUUAGAUUUUCUCUCUUUUUAGUCUGUUAAUCUAGCUCAUGAUCCAUUCAUCUUGUUUAUCAUUUCAAACAAAUUUGGCUUCAUAUAUCAUUUGUAUGAAUUUUGAGGUCUCAAUUUCAUCCAAUUCUGGUCUGGUUUUAGGUAUUUCUUUUCUUCUGCUAGUUUUGGUGUGAGUUUAUUGUUCUUUUACUUACUGUAAGUUCAACUGAGAUCUUUUUAACUUCUUGAGGUAGGCAUUUAGCACUAUAAACUUUCUUCUUAACACUGCUUUUGCCACAUCCUAGAGAUUUUGGCAUAUUGUGUUUCUGUUUUCAUUUAUUUCAAAGAAUUUUUUAUUUCUGCCUUAAUUUUAUUGUUUACCUAAAAGUCAUUCAGGAACAAGCUGUUUAGUUUCCAUGCAAUUGUGUAGUUUUCAUAGAUAUUCCUGGUAUUGAUUUCCAUUUUUAUUCCACUGUGCUCUAAGAGUAUGGUUGCUAUGAUUUUGAUUUUUUAAAAACUUAUUGAGACUUGCUUUAUGGCCAAGCAUGUGGUUGAUCUGAAUAUGUUUCAUGUCCUGAUGAGAAUGUAUAUUCUGUGAUUCAUAAGUGGCGCAUUCUUUAGACAUCCAAUUGAUCAAGUAUCAAAUUUAAGUCCUGAAUUUUUUUGUUAGUUUUCUGCCUAAGGGAUCUGUCUAAUGCAGUCAGUGGGGUAUUGGAGUUUACCAGUAUUAUUGUGUAGCUAAGUCUUUUUGUCGGUUGAGAAGUACUUGUUAGGUCACCAGGAAACCUGCAAUUCCAAGGGGAUCUUCUGUUCCUCUGAGCUUGGCAAAAUUGGAGUGAAUUGUAGGGUAUGUCUUAGGUGGCCUGGUGAUACACUGGGUCAAAGGCAGAGGAUUCUGGGGCAGGGCUGUGGUGUCACAAGUGUGCAGUUGGUAUACCCUCAAGGACCCGGCUUUUUAGCCCAGCAGGUGACUGUUGAGUCUGCCCAGCUGUCACUUUCCCAACUGGUUCUUCCUCCAAUUUCUGCCCCAGGAGCUAGUCAAACCAGCUAGUUUUGUUCCAAGCCUUCUGUGCCCAGAUUGCUAGGCUGUUCCAGCUGUUCUGCAUCAUGGGGAUCCCUCAGGCAGAAGCUGAACUGGCCAACAGGCAACACCUUUCCCACACUGGUCUUGUAAAGGGAGAGACACUUACUUUCCAUAUCAGCACCUACACCCUUACCCCACUUUUCUCUUUGUUCUAGUAGUGAGGGCUUCUCUCCUGCUCAAGCUCUGGCUGCAGAUCUUAGCUCAACAACCCUGGGCAGUGUGCUUGAACCCUGGAAAUUUGGGCUUAUGACUUUGUCCUCUGGCUCCAUGGACAAAGUCAUUCACCAGCUGUGCUGGGGGACUGAACUGCUCACAGUCUGCCAGGAAAACACUUAGGUGGGGCACUCAGGAGGCUGUGCUGUGUGUUCCCACUUUCAGGAGCAGUCUGGCAGAUGGCCUUGGGAGGGGUCAGAGUCAAGGGAGCACACGGAGCAGAUGCACCACAAUCCUUUGCAAAAGAGUUCUUGUCUCUCUGGCCUGGCAGUUAGCAGUGGCUACCAUCACUCAGAGCAAGAUGGAAAAGAAUGGGGGAUGAGUGCCUGUGGCCAUGUUUUGCUGCAGCUACCCCAUAGGCUGUGAAACCUUCUGGGCUCUGUGCAGGUUUGAGCUCUGCCUCUAUCUAAUUUCCAAGGAGUUCCCCUUGCCAAUUCAAAUGUCUAGGGGGGUAUCAGAUUUCUUGUAGCUAGGAUCUCAGACGCCUGUGAAGGUAGUAUGGUGCCCCAGAGUUCCUUCACUCACCCUUUCCUGAGUGCCUGUUCCGGACCAGAAGCUGAUCCUGGUGCUUGAUGACUCCUUGCAGGCAUCCCAACUUCCUCUCUCUUCAACCUCAAUGACCAUGUCAUCUCUGUCUUGACUUUCAGUGUUUUCUCUCAAAAGAUCUGUUCAGAGGGUGAUGGCUUACUCUAUAUUUUGAUUUCUUUAGAUGGGAGGGUAAGGGGCUUACUCUAUAUUUUGAUUUUUCUGGCUGCAUCUAAUUGGCCAUCUUGUCACUGCCUUUGGAUUUCUGCCUUUAUCUAAAAAAAGAUGGGAUGCCAUUAAAGUGAGUUAAGCUGAAUAGUGCUAAGAUUUUUGUGUUGAAAAAAUCAUCCUUGUUGCUUAUGUGGAGUAGGCCGAAAAGAUGCAAGAAGAUAAAUCAGAAGGAUCAUUUGAUAGAUCCAGGAAAGGCAUAAUGCUGGCUCAGACCACUGUGGUAGUGGUGGAGAUAGCUAGAAACGGUUGGAUUCAAGAUAAAUUUUGAAAUAAGAGUAAAUAGAACUUGCUGAUUAAUUGGAAAUGAAGGAUAACACUUUCCUCAAAUCUCUGACCUUCCACCUCCUGGAUCACUUUUAGAAGAUGAUCUCAUAUACUGUCUUACUAAGAAAAUAGAAGCCAUCUGUCAAGAACUCCCUAAUUUACCUGUCAAUAAACAUGAACUUAUGAGGGGCUUAGAGGAAGUGAUGUCUUUAGGGAACAGUCAGAUUUCAGUUAAAGCAAGGGAGCAGAGUGAGAGCUCAGAGAAGUUUUAAGGACAUAGGGGAGUCUUCUAGACAAGUAUUGGCUCUUCUAUUGAGCCUUUUACUGAGGUUUGGAAGGCAGUGAAGGGGAGAGGACUGAUGUGAAAAAAGCAUAUGAAAAGAGUUAAGUUGAUGAUAGUGAGAUAGAGGAUAGAUGACCAUUAAAUUUGUCAUACAAUGGAAGCAUGGGCGAAAGCCAUAGUGAAUUUCUUUGAGGGAGGCAGACAGUGGGAGGUGGCAAGAGAAUUUGACCAGGGUGGUUAUAGACAUAGACAUUGGCAACCUACAUGUGAGAAGGUUUGGACAAUGCUGGAUAUAGAAACUGAAGACUCACAUGCUUCAGGGCCUGGUGGAUAAGAAAACCACAGAAGACUGGUAUCAAGCAAUGUGCAUAGCUCCUUUGGAUUGUUUUGGAUCUCCUCCAGGAACUUACCUGUAGCAAAGAGUUUGACUCUUUUGGUCAACAAUAACUUGGCACCCAAACGUGUUGAUUCAGAGAAGGCUCAGGACCCCAAAGGAAUUACCCAAAGUUGGAGCUAAGGUACAAGCAGAGGCCCAUUGAAAGCCUCCCCAACUUCAAGCUUCUCAUUCAGUGGCACUGGAAACUUUCUAAUUAUGUGAGGAGCUGCUAGAUUCUACAGUGCCGGAUAGACAGCUCCCAUGAGCUGUUUGGCUUGUGAAUGGCAUUUCCAAGGAAACCAAAAUUAUGACAUUCUGAAGACCAGAGAUGCUAAUCUCCCUCAUUUGGCAUCCCACUGGCCCAGAUCUGUUUUCCACUGCAAAUGCUCUGCUCCCAAAACUAUACAAGCACUCCCCCUUUAGGCCCAGGAAUGGUCAUAGAAGAGGCUUGCUAAAAUUGAUAUCCUUGAGUUCUAUCAAUUCUGGGACAGAGAACAAAUUGUCUCGCCUGCAAGGAUGGAGGGACAGUGAGGAAUUUGCCAAGACAGAGUCUUGUUUCAUCACCAGGUGCCACGC